rnacentral:misc_RNA from 1 species
AAGUCGUAACAAGGUUUCCGUAGGUGAACCUGCGGAAGGAUCAUUAACAAAUUCCAAAACUCGUGUUUGACUACGUCAUGUGUGUCAGGUACUGCUGCAGAGUGUCCCCAUGUGGGCCACACGAGCCCCCUGACACACAUAAAGUGGCGUAGUCUAUCUACAACACACAUAUACAUAAAACAAUCACAUUCAACCAUAUUUGACAACCAAGAGUAACCAAUACUUGAAAAAUGUUUAUUUAAUCGAAACAACUUUUAACAAUGGAUCUCUCGGCUCUC